ACACAUGCAAGUCGAACGAGAGAGAGGAAGCUUGCUUCCUCAAUCGAGUGGCGAACGGGUGAGUAACGCGUGAGGAACCUGCCUCAAAGAGGGGGGCAACAGUUGGAAACGACUGCUAAUACCGCAUAAGCCCACAGGUCGGCAUCGACCAGAGGGAAAAGGAGCAAUCCGCUUUGAGAUGGCCUCGCGUCCGAUUAGCUAGUUGGUGAGGUAAUGGCCCACCAAGGCAACGAUCGGUAGCCGGACUGAGAGGUUGAACGGCCACAUUGGGACUGAGACACGGCCCAGACUCCUACGGGAGGCAGCAGUGGGGAAUAUUGCACAAUGGGGGAAACCCUGAUGCAGCGACGCCGCGUGGAGGAAGAAGGUCUUCGGAUUGUAAACUCCUGUUGUUGAGGAAGAUAAUGACGGUACUCAACAAGGAAGUGACGGCUAACUACGUGCCAGCAGCCGCGGUAAAACGUAGGUCACAAGCGUUGUCCGGAAUUACUGGGUGUAAAGGGAGCGCAGGCGGGAAGACAAGUUGGAAGUGAAAUCUAUGGGCUCAACCCAUAAACUGCUUUCAAAACUGUUUUUCUUGAGUAGUGCAGAGGUAGGCGGAAUUCCCGGUGUAGCGGUGGAAUGCGUAGAUAUCGGGAGGAACACCAGUGGCGAAGGCGGCCUACUGGGCACCAACUGACGCUGAGGCUCGAAAGUGUGGGUAGCAAACAGGAUUAGAUACCCUGGUAGUCCACACCGUAAACGAUGAUUACUAGGUGUUGGAGGAUUGACCCCUUCAGUGCCGCAGUUAACACAAUAAGUAAUCCACCUGGGGAGUACGACCGCA
rnacentral:rRNA from 1 species